rnacentral:rRNA from 1 species
UACAGAGGGUGCGAGCGUUGUCCGGAAUCACUGGGCGUAAAGGGCGCGUAGGCGGCUCGGUCAGCGUGCGGUGAAAGCCCGGGGCUCAACCCCGGGUCGGCCGUGCGAACUGCUGGGCUGGAGCACUGUAGAGGCAGGUGGAAUUCCGGGUGUAGCGGUGGAAUGCGUAGAGAUCCGGAAGAACACCGGUGGCGAAGGCGGCCUGCUGGGCAGUAGCUGACGCUGAUGCGCGACAGCGUGGGGAGCAAACAGG